AUGUUCCUCGCCAUCAGCGGGAAAGUAAGAAGAGGCCUUUCCACGGAGGUUGAUCAAGGCUCGCCAGAACGACUUGGUUGGUUGCUCUUCAGCCCCCACAUCCAAAGUCGAUGUAGUGCCAUAAGAUGGACCGAUGAACGCGCAAACACAACUUCCAAAUCCCCAAGACCGAUGGAUCCAUCUGACGAGCGCAACAUUCCAUCCUCCUAUUUCCUUCUACCUCCACGACGAUGGAGAAGGAGGGCGAUGGUGCGUGCUGCUCCAAAUCCACCGCUUCGCUCCCCUGUCGUCAUCGACUGCAUCCACAAGAGCACGACGGAAAUGAAGAAGACGACCACCCUGCCAGAGGAGAGGCUCGCAAACUCCAGCGAAGAAGAUCCAAACAUCAUAACACGAGCUGCCCUGCGUAAGUCCAGGCGAAUGCCUCAAACCACUACUACUAUCUUGUAG
rnacentral:rRNA from 1 species